rnacentral:rRNA from 1 species
ACAUUGGUUUAUACGUUCCUUUUAGUUUCGACUUUAGGGAUAAUUUUUUUCGCUAUCUUCUUCCGAGAACCACCUAAGGUUCCCGUUAUGCUUAUUACUAAACUUGUUGAAGAGAUGAAAUAG